AUCUCGGUAACAUUAUUAUGUUUCAUCGUUUAUAUGCGCAGUCCAUUUAAUAAAAUGUCUGAUUGAGAACAAAUGAUUAAUUAUUAUAAUUGGUUUACAAAAGUAGCUGUUAUUUUAAUUUAAGCGUAAUGGAAAAAGUAUUUGUUUAUGGAACUUUAAAACGUAACCAGCCAAACCAUGACGUGCUCAAUGAUGGAAAAAAUGGUAAAGCUACGUUUUUAGCUGAGGCUAAUACAAUACAAAAGUAUCCUCUUGUGAUUUCUACAAAAUAUAACAUACCAUUCCUAUUACACAAAGCCAGUACCGGUCAUCUAAUAAAUGGUGAAAUUUACAAUGUAGAUACAAAAAUGUUAGCGUUCUUAGAUGAAUUUGAGAACCAUCCAAAUUUCUAUGUGCGUCAAAAAACUUGUGUAAAAUUAACAAAUGACGACAUAGUUGAAUGUUGGAUAUAUUUUUUAACAAAUUAUCCUGACAAUUUUUUACAAUUAAAAUAUUUUAGUGACUACGAUUCUUCUGGUACUCAUGGGCUUGCUUAUGUUUCAAGGUAUCUGAGAGAUCCUCAAGAUGUUUCCCAGUUCCUGAAUUGGAACAAUCUAAAUAAAAAAGUAUGUUCAUAAAAUGCUACUGUUACAGUGAGGAGAUGACGUUGUUGGAAGUAUGAAUUCAUCAAGGUGCAGGCUGGUUAGUUGCCCAUAUGUCAAUUAGCGAUAAGAAAGGGCUAGUUGGUUCAUUGUCAAAUUGUUGGACUCUAGAAUCUAGCCCAAUAUUUAGAGCAAACAAUGCCCAGUCUUUACCUAGUGGGUGAACUGGAUCAAUAAGACGACUUAGUUCUUGUCGGCAUAUUGGACUUAACUCAGUUAAAGGUAAAUCUUCUGUACUAGAUAGUAUAUCUUCAACCUUCAUGAGAAAUGUACUAGUUUAUAGUAAAUAUAAAUAAUUAUAACGAUAAAUAAAAACAAUUUUUACUAAUUCACAUCCAAAGGCGACCAAAUCCAUUAUACAUUCUCUUUUUCCUGUUAGUGGAUUCGUAACAUGAGAUUUAAAUUUGGAUUUGCUUUUAAUAGAAUAGUAUACAUCAUCAAUUCCAUAACCAUGUGGCUGUGCAUAGUGUUCUGACAAGUCUGAAGGGCUUAAGAAUUCUUUAAUUAUUUUCAUUCCUGGACAAGUUUCGAUUAAA